CUCAGUCUGGAGUACCCUCAGGUUCCUUAGGCAUGAGCUUUUCCAAAUGGCAUUGAUUCCUUUGCCAGUGUCCUCUUCUUUUGGUGUCUCAGCUUCAAGUCCUUGGAGUUUGAAUCCUAUCCAGCCAUAUUCUGCUAUCUGCCAAUUCCUUGCUAAGUGCAGACCUGACACACUUGCCAAUAAAUCCACCUCUGUGCCAUUUAAAGUCAUCUGCUCUCUUUUCUUUGGAGCUAAUCAAAGUUUGCAAGAAGACAUUUUUAAGAGGAACUGGCUCUAGGAUUCAACUGAUUUAAAUUGCAAGCUGGGCUGAUAAAUGGAUGGGAUACAGCACUCCAGGAGACAACUGCAAUGUCUGCACAGGUUAAUGGCCUCAUGUCUUUCAAGAGCAGCGUUUCCAGUGUCUUUAUACAGGUGUUUUUCAGACAGUUCAAGAAGACUGUCAGGUCUCUGGGGCUCUCUGACUCCUGGGCUCUGCAUUCCCACUGUCAGCUGUGAAAAAUAAUUCUGCUUUUGCAGUUGUGUCCAAGGAAAGCAAGAUGAUAAAUCAACAGCCUCAAAGGGAGAUGUGUCUCAAGAGCAAGAUUCAUUCAGGAGGGGCCAAGGUCACCAUGCCUCUGGGCUUGCCAGCUCCCAGACAUGGCACGAUCCCCUCACCAAGACCCUCACCAAGUGCAGGUUCACUGUGCUAUCUGGGUUCCUGUUGACUGCAGUGGGGGUUGGCUGCUCAGGCAGAAAGCAGAAAAAUUUCCUCAUUGUCAUUUGUGUAAAAAAAUCUCAGUCUCUGCAAAGAACAGCAGCAUCUAAUGCCAAAUAGAAAUUAAUAAGUGAAAACUGACUAGCCAUGGGUGGCCACAGUGAUUUCUUUCUUUGAAACUCAAAGACCACAUGGUUUGCUUUAGUUUUUUCCUCCCUCACACAGAGUUUCUCAUCUGUAGCGUUGGUUAUUGGUUGAUGUUUUAUAGACAGUGUAAGAAAAUUACUGAA